rnacentral:tRNA from 1 species
AGACCUCGGCACAUGUCCAAUGCACAUUAAUGAGUUUGCAACUCACCGUGAAAUUCACUACAAGGCC